UUUGCUUUUGUUUCUUUGACCUAAGUUAAAGAAGUAUUGCUCUCUUUGUAUUGUAAUUUUAUAGGUAACACAGGAAAUCAAGUCUUCUACUGUUAAAAAAUACAGUAUUGUCGUUUACCUUCCAUCAGGAACUGUUGUAUUAUUUAUUGAAGAGCUUUAAUCUUCAGUUCACAGCCUCUUUCUUAACAAAAUAUAACACUUUAGUCCUCAACUGAUGUAAUGCUUUAGGUUAAAUCACACUAAUAAUUCACAUUAUUUAUUAAUUAGUUAGGGAAACUUUGACAAGGCCUUCAAAUUACACUGAUUAAUAUUGCAUAUAGAUUGUUAGGUCAAAUGCCAUUAACACCUUUUUUUAAUAUCUUGUUCACCAGUAAGCCAUUAUUAUAUUUUGUAGCUGUUUAAAGUGUAGAAAGGGGGAAUUUUCAUGAGCUACAGUAUAGAUCAUUAGUUAAUCUUUUUCUAUAUUUCCAGGUGAGACCAAUGGGGAAUUUGUCAAACAACUCCAAAAGAGGUAAAGUACUGGUUCAGGUGCCUCCCUGGGAAUUUUACUGGGAGGAGGCCCUGAAAAAGACCCAGGUUGGCAGGCAGCACAGACUGGAGGGACUAGG
rnacentral:lncRNA from 1 species